rnacentral:rRNA from 1 species
AGCAGUAGGGAAUUUUCCGCAAUGGACGAAAGUCUGACGGAGCAACUCCGCGUGAGUGAUGAAGGUUUUUCGGGAUCGUAAAGCUCUGUUGUUAGGGAAGAACAAGUGCGAGAGUAACUGCUCGCACUUUGACGGUACCUAACCAGAAAGCCACGGCGAACUACGUGCCAGCAGCCGCGGUAAUACGUAGGUGGCAAGCGUUGUCCGGAAUUAUUGGGCGUAAAGGGCUCGCAGGCGGUUUCUUAAGUCUGAUGUGAAAGCCCCCGGCUCAACCGGGGAGGGUCAUUGGAAACUGGGAAACUUGAGUGCAGAAGAGGAGAGUGGAUUCCACGUGUAGCGGUGAAAUGCGUAGAGAUUUGGAGGAACACCAGUGGCGAAGUCGACUCUCUGGUCUGUAACUGACGCUGAGGAGCGAAAGCGUGGGGAGCGAACAGGAUUAGAUACCCUGGUAGUCCACGCCGUAAACGAUGAGUGCUAAGUGUUAGGGGGUUUCCGCCCCUUAGUGCUGCAGCUAACGCAUUAAGCACUCCGCCUGGGGAGUACGGUCGCAAGACUGAAACUCAAAGGAAUUGACGGGGGCCCGCACAAGCGGUGGAGCAUGU